CCUACGGGUGGCAGCAGUGGGGAAUAUUGGACAAUGGGGGCAACCCUGAUCCAGCCAUGCCGCGUGUGUGAAGAAGGCCCUCGGGUUGUAAAGCACUUUCAGUGAGGAAGAACGCCUGGUGGUUAAUACCCAUCAGGAAAGACAUCACUCACAGAAGAAGCACCGACUAACUCCGUGCCAGCAGCCGCGGUAAUACGGAGGGUGCGAGCGUUAAUCGGAAUUACUGGGCGUAAAGCGCGCGUAGGUGGCUUGAUAAGCCGGUUGUGAAAGCCCCGGGCUCAACCUGGGAACGGCAUCCGGAACUGUCAAGCUAGAGUGCAGGAGAGGAAGGUAGAAUUCCCGGUGUAGCGGUGAAAUGCGUAGAGAUCGGGAGGAAUACCAGUGGCGAAGGCGGCCUUCUGGACUGACACUGACACUGAGGUGCGAAAGCGUGGGUAGCAAACAGGAUUAGAUACCCUAGUAGUC
rnacentral:rRNA from 1 species